UCCUGUCUUCUAAUUCUUUUGCCAAGGACUUCUCUGUGUAGUGCAAAGACAGCAAAUAUACUUCAUCUCAAGUACCAUCUCCAAUUGAUUGAUAGUACCUGUCUUUAUUAUGUUCUAUAAUAACAGUUCUGAAGCCAGGUGUCAACUCAGUAUGAAAGAGGAUUAUAACUAAUUAGUGAUGUUUGCUGGGGGUGGGGAAAGGGGAUUAGCAGCAUACAUGCCAUAUAUAUGUCAUAUUUAAUAUUGUGUUUUCCAUGAAAUACUCUGUUUCCAUGUCUGUAUUUUAGUCUUGGCUACUUGCAGAUGUUGCAUUGCUGCCGCUGCCACCACUGCUGUUACUACACUACACUUGCUACGAGUUGUUCCUUGGGUAGGACCGGAGUGAUCAUUGAUCAGAAACUCAUCCUCACAGUCUGGGGUUUGCUCCUGUUGCUGGUAUUCACAGUUUUCCCCUUUCAACUUUACCUCAGCUAACCCCUUACCUACAUUAACAGGAGGAGCUGGUAGAAGACUUCAUGAAGGAGAGGAAAAGGAAAAAAAAUCAAAGGAUGACUACAACCUCUUUUCAUCUCAGUUUUGCAAAGCAUGACUCAACAGAGAGAUCACAUUCUUGAAGACUCUCCAGACCACAGCCACUGCAGACAUUAACCAUGGCCAGCAACUGGACCUCAGCCCCAGGAUUUACUCUUGAUGUCUCAACUGAUUUGUGAAAUCAGUAGGAGAGCUUGUAUCCCUUUCUAACUUGUUCAUCAGAGAUUUUAAGAUUUGCAUACAUGUGGUAGAUUGAAGAUAAGUUGUUGGGCUGCACUAUUUCUGUUGCUAUUCGUGAGAGUCACUACCAGCCUCUCUUCUCAGGAUUAAUGGGCCAGAAACCGUGGGCAGAAUGACUUCAGGCAACCCAAAACACCAGAAAUUGGCAUAAGGAAACAAUACAAUGAAAAGUCAAUACUUGGACCUUUGUCAUUCCACAGAGCAUGAUGUACUAUCUGAAACAAAAAAGAAGAGCUGCUUUGGAGAAGGGUUUUAACAGAUUGUUUCAUCAGAAGAAAGAUUUAGAAGAGGGGAAACUUCCAGUUAUGUAAGAUGGGCAUUUUAGCAUUUAAAGACGUCUGUUCCCUGUGUAGGUCAUUGAGAUUGAUACCAGGAGCAGACUGUGGCUGACAAAGCCAGUUUAACUAAGUGGUUUCAUGCUCCUAGAGAGAUGCUGUCACUCUUGUCUCUCACUUUGGUGGAUAUUCAUCUGCAAUGAGUCCAGUACCUGAAGGAGCAAGAGAACAACAAGCAUACAGGGGGACAACAUGGCCUUCUGAGUGAAGAUAGCAGUGGAAAAUAUCAUGAGAUUGACUGCAUUGGGCUGGGCUUGUUCUUUAAAAAAAAACAAAGAAGAAGUCUUAUUUUUGAUGAUAAAAGUAACAGGUGGUCAUAGUUAAAAAAAUAAAGUGAAAGGUAUAAAUUAAAAAGAAUAUAAUUUUA